UACGGAGGGGACUAGCGUUGUUCGGAAUUACUGGGCGUAAAGCGCACGUAGGCGGAUUUGUUAGUCAGGGGUGAAAUCCCGAGGCUCAACCUCGGAACUGCCUUUGAUACUGCAAAUCUCGAGUCCGGAAGAGGUGAGUGGAAUUCCUAGUGUAGAGGUGAAAUUCGUAGAUAUUCGGAAGAACACCAGUGGCGAAGGCGGCUCACUGGCCCGUUACCGACGCUCAGGCGCGACAGCGUGGGGAGCAAACAGG
rnacentral:rRNA from 1 species